GUCUGGUCGUCAAGCCAUACGAUGUGAUAUUUGACCCCUUCAUCCAGACCCAGGAGGUUAGGCUGCCAUGUAACUCUACGGGAGAACAGCCGGUCACGUACAGGUGGAGAAAGGAUGGUCGGCUGCUAGAUGUGAAUUCUCGGCAACCGCCAUAUGAAAUGGACGCCGGCGCGUUGAUCAUCAAGAACCCAGAGAAGAGCAAAGAUGAAGGAAGGUACCAAUGUGUGGCAGAGAAUGACUACGGCACGGUUGUCAGCAGACGGGCUGCUCUCACCUUUGCUUAUUCGGACCCGUUUGCCUCGACUCCGCGCCCUCCAGUGUCCGGACGUCAGGGGGAAGGAGCGGCUCUCCGGUGCC